AUGGUUUUAGGGUGGGGGCUAAGGAGGAGAGAGGACGCCAUGGCCAUUGGACGCAUUGUGGAAGGAGUAGAAUAUUUGCACAACUACUGCCAACCAUUGGUGAUUCAUUGUGAUCUUAAGCCAAGCAAGAUUGUUCUUGCUGAAGACAUGAGCGCACGGGUUGGAGACUUUGGCAUAUCAAGGAUCCAUCAAGAAAAUACAAGCAAGGGGAUGCAAACUUCAUAUAGCUCAACUGGAAUUAGAGGUUGGAUAGGCUAUAUUGCUCCAGAGUAUGGAGAUGGCUGUGCGGUCUCAACAGCUGGUGAUAUUUAUAGUCUUGGAAUAUUGCUGCUUGAGAGGUUUACCGGAAGGAGCCCACCAGAGAAUGCACUUCCAGAUGAUGUCGAGGAUGCACAUAGAACCUUUGAGAUAGCUGACCCAACAAUGUGGCUGCACGGCGGACAACAUGAUAACACUACAAGUAUUAGAAUCCAGGAGUGCUUGGUCUCGGUCUUCAGGCUUGGCAUAUCCUGCUCAAAGCAACAACCUCGAGACCGAGCACUGACGAAAGAUGCACGGGAUCAGAGAUGCGUACCUGAAAUUUACAGGGGAGCAUUGAGCAGAAAGAGAAUCCUCGACUCGAGAUUCAGAACAUCAUUGAAUGAACAAGCUGAUCAUUGCUUCUUGUUCAAUCAAGCCUUGAUAUUGUUGCUUGAGAUGUUUACUGCAAGGAGCCCAACAGAAGGCAUGUUCAGAGAUUCAUUGGGUCUGCAUAAGUUUGUCGAGGAUGCUCUUCCAGAUAAAACCUUGGAGAUAGCUGACCCAACAAUGUGGCUGCACAGCGGACAAUGGGAUAACACUACAAGUAUUAGAAUCAUGGAGUUAUUGGUUUCAAUUUUCAGGCUUGGCAUAUCCUGCUCCAGGCACAGCCUCGAGACCGAGCACUGA
rnacentral:rRNA from 1 species